CGAUUCUGGCUCAGGAUGAACGCUAGCGAUAGGCCUAACACAUGCAAGUCGAGGGGCAGCACAUGAGUAGCAAUACGAUGGUGGCGACCGGCGCACGGGUGAGUAACACGUAUGCAACCUACCUUUAACGGGGGAAUAACCCGUUGAAAAACGGACUAAUACUCCGUAACACAGGGGUCCCGCAUGGGAAUAUUUGUUAAAGAUUAAUCGGUUGAAGAUGGGCAUGCGUUCCAUUAGCUUGUUGGUGAGGUAACGGCUCACCAAGGCCACGAUGGAUAGGGGAACUGAGAGGUUUAUCCCCCACACUGGAACUGAGACACGGUCCAGACUCCUACGGGAGGCAGCAGUGAGGAAUAUUGGUCAAUGGAGGCAACUCUGAACCAGCCAAGUCGCGUGAAGGAUGAAGGUCUUAUGGAUUGUAAACUUCUUUUGCAAGGGAAUAAAGUGGGGGACGUGUCCUCCUUUGCAUGUACCUUGCGAAUAAGGAUCGGCUAACUCCGUGCCAGCCGCCGC
rnacentral:rRNA from 1 species